GUCGGCGCUGCGUUGCCGUUUGCCGUUGACGGUGUCGUUUGCCCGUUUUCGAUGUCGUUGUUCAAUGGCUAAAAACUCGGGUGUUUGGUGCGCCCAGAGCAUGUGAAAAAUUGACGACGUUUGCGCCAGAUAACAUAUACGUUGCGAAUUUAUUUAUAACAAAUUCACGAAAAUUAACCGAGUUACGUUACUGAAAAUGCGCAAGAAAAUUGAUAGAAAUCCAGCUAUCGCGUUAUUUGUGCCGCUUUUCCAAGGAAAAGCAAAUGAAAUGCAAAAAUAUGCAAUUGCAUAUUAAUAAAUUAAAGAAAAGUUAAGGGAGAAAAACUGAUUUUAAUGGAUUUUCACGGAUUUUCCCAUCGCGGAUUUAGCCAACAUUCUACGUCCAUCGGGUCGAAAUGGACGGACGGGACGGAUUGGAUGGAUGAUAAAAUAGAAGUAAACUUCUUUUGUUUUUGCCCCCUAUUUUUUUUCGGUGUGUGUCGUCUUGUGCUAAAGAGAGAGAUAGAGCGAGCUGUGAGCGAGCAAGAUGGCAAGCGAGCUGGAAAAAAAAGAAGUGUGCAAAGCUGUUAAUUAAUGGAAAAAUUCGUUUCGUUUUCGUUGUCGUGUUUUUUGGCUCGGUUCGUUUGGAGGAUUAACAAAAAAUGAAUAAUCAUAUUAUAAAAUCCAAGCUUAUUUUUUAUAUAUAUGCCAUACACACGCACACAUCUACAUAUAUCGGAAUUGCCGAGAUUUACUUUUUUAAAAGUGUUAAAUUGCCGAAUGCCAAACACAAUCAUAUUUUUUUCGCAUUUUUGUUGUAUGAUUUGCCCAAAGUGAAGUGUAUGCAAAUAACAAAUAAAACAAAAUAAAAAU
rnacentral:sRNA from 1 species